GAAGGUUUGGCUGUUACAGAGGAAGUGGUGUGGUUUGUUUGGUCUUGAACAAAACAGAAACAAAGGAAACUACGCAGAUAGCAGAAGACAAUAGAAGAUGAGGUCCAGAUGGAUUUUAAUAUCACUUUUUGGGUUCAUCCUCAGAUUCGAGGUGGGGAUGCUGUCUGUGCCUGCCGUUGACGUCCAACAUGUCCAGCUGGGUUCAAACAUCAGUCUGAGCUGCAACCUCUCCUAUGUACAUCACACAACCUGGCUCAAGCACAACCCGGGUCUCCCACCCACUGUGAUCAUCUGUGCCAAAAUGAGCGGAGGACAACCAGUCCAAGUGUUUCAGCUCGGCCCUCGAUACUCCGUCAGCAUGAUCGACCGUUCUCUGGGACUGAGCAUCACAGACGUGGAGGACGACGACCUGGGACUCUACUACUGCACUGCCACCGAGAAAAUAUGCCCGGUGAUUGGAGGAGGAGUCACUCUGCAAGGUCUUUCAGUCGAGUCCGGGUUCCACUUCCAUCACUGGCACUGUGUGACCGUCGGCUCGGGACUGUUCAUCUUGGUGCUGACCGUCUGCUUCACCCACUAUAAAUACAAACCAAAGAGGAAAAAGACCCAUUGCUGCUGCCUGCACUGAUGUCAGGAUCUCCAGAGGAGACAAGACUGCCGUUCACCCCUCAUCUUCAUGUCUUUUCUUUCUACCACAAUCUGUAUAAUAAACUUCGCUCAUCUGUCCACACUGAAGCUUCUGAGCUAAUGGAAAGUCUUUUUUUGAAGAUUCUAAUCAUACAGGUCCUACUGCAAGUUCAGGGUACUUUAGAGAAAAGAUUUAGAGUGAAGCAUUUGAGAAAUUCAGAUUGUAGAAAAGGUCAAAUAAAAAAAUUAACAAAUCUGCUUCAUCUUACAAAACAUGCAGUUUAAAGAUCACACUAAGAUUUCCUCCCCAGUUUAGGAAAUAAGUAUUAAAAUGCGCCACAAUUUCAAACUCAUAACUUAAUGCAUGCUUUAUUUAUUAUCGCCAUCUGGUACAUUAACUCAGAUACUUCAAAAAUAAACGCAACAACCUAAACACCAUCAGAAUGCUACAUAUAAAUAAAAUCUGUUCUCUCUACAUUUUAGAGAAGGUGCUGCACCUUCUCAAGAGUUUUGUCUCAUCAGUUCCUCCUCGAGUUAGUAUCACCAACAGAACCUCCAUGGCAGUCAGUAAGCAGACCAUUAACUAUACAUAUUUAUUGAACAGAAUUAAAAUCCAUUUUACAAAAACCAGGUAGGACCAACAUUACAAAUAUUUUGUAUUUACAGGAGCGUGAAACCUAAAGGCCAGCUAUCCGUGUCCGAACAUUUCCUGAGAGGCGUAAGUCAUGUAGAGGAAGCCGUCGUCGUCCUGGUGGUCGUUGUACACCUGAGCCAUGGUCAGAGACAUGCUGGCCAGCCCGCUGCUGUUGAUGAGCAGGUAGAAAGCCUGACUGGGGAGCAACGCCAUGCGGUUCCUGAGAAGACAGAGCAGCUACAUGGUUCAAACACACCCACAGCCAAGGAAGGCUAGUGUCAAAGACCAAAACAGGAGUCUCUUCUUCAGAUCCAGCUCUAACCACGUUUGACAAAGCUACAGGUGUACUAAAAAAGUAAAUCAAAAAUAAAACAAAAACAUUCUAAUGUUAGAACAUUAGAAUGUUCUUGUAGCCAUCAAAAACAAACUGUUCAUAUCAGUUAGCACCACUGACGUUAUUUAAAAAGACCCCAUUUUAAGAGUGUAGAAACCUUUUCAUUAUUCUCAAUAAAUUCUUAGAAUUCUUGAAAUUCUUUAAAGAUGGGAAGUGGGUCUGUACUGUGAACAAUAUGUGCAAUAUGACUUGAAAAGACAAAUGAGAAGCACAUUUUGUAGAACCAGAAAAUCUUAAACCAAUUUCUAACCUUACUCACCAUUCACAGUCCACAGAUCAGAUGGCUCCAAAUGUCACAUUUCAUUCUUAUAUUUGGUCAUAUGGCUCAGAAUUAAAGAAGUUAACUUAGUUAGCGGAUUUGUUUUAUGUUGCUUGAUCAGGAUGAAGCUAUAAACUAUCACAUCAAUCCUGGAAUGACACCAAAAAAACGCCUCAAAACAGAUCAGAGCAGGAACUUCAGACUCAAGCAAUCCUUACACUCAAAUGAAACCCUCUACAGAUGCAUUGAAGGAAUCAGUUUCCCAUGACAGGAAUGAGAUCCUUGAGUGUGAAAAUAAAGACUUUGACCUGCUGAAAUUAAGACAGACAGAUUCUUGAGAAUCCCAUACUGCUGAGCUCCUUUUACCUGAUAAUGGUGACAAACUGUGUCAUGGUGAGUUCGUGUGGCACCAAGAACUUGGUUUUGUCCAGUGGAGGCAGGUACUUCUCCCUCUCAUAGCGCUCGAUGAUGACCUGCAGACCAUCAGCAGCUCAGGACCAGACCUCCACAGAUGACAGCUUCCCUCCCCAAGCUUACCGGGACUUUGUUGGGGAACUUCGCACGGAUUCCAGCCACCUCCUGCUUCCUGGUCACUGGAAGACAGAAAACAAAUAAGAAAACAGGUGAGAAUCAAAGUGUGUGUAUUCCUCCUCCGGCUUGUUGACCCUAAAAGUUUACCAAAGCUCUUCCUCUGUUUGAAAGGUAUGCUCUGCAGCUGACUCUUCUCAAACGGCGGCAUGAUGUUAGCAUGUGUGUGUUUGUGUGUGAGGUGCAGGGAGUCCAUUUAAGUAGAGUUCAGCAGCUGUGGAUCAUCAGCUGAUGAGGUCAGAAACCCUGCAGAGAGUCAGAGAGCCGUGGAGGAGGGUGGAGAUCCACUCUGAUCCACUGACAGUCAUGGUUGAUGCUGUGUUGGGUGAAUACCGUCUGAUUUCCUCCUUUACUUAAGUUUUACUCAAGAGUUGUCCAGAUAUACAUUGUAAUGAUAUCUUCCUAUAAACAGACACAUAUUCUCUCAUAUUCACUCAUCUCAGUCCCUGUCCAGCAUGAUUUAUUAUGCCUAAAAUAACCUUGAUUCCACAAUAAAAUGACAUGUUUGGAAUCAUUGUACUUCAUUAGAAAACCCAGUUUUAACAAAACAUCUUUUUUUUUCAUUGUAAUAUCAGACAAAAAGGAUAGUAGCAUCACAAACAUGCUAAUUUAACAAACUAAAAUAUCUACACUUCAUUUCCUGGAAGACAAAUUUGAU